AUCCAGAUGACGAAUCUCAAAUAUGAAGAAACGUGCGUCGUGGAU
rnacentral:hammerhead_ribozyme from 1 species